rnacentral:lncRNA from 1 species
UUCCAGAAGCAGUUCAAACUUUUCUUUUAAAGCAUUGGACUCCCUUUGUUCAAAGAAAUCAUGUGCUGAGUAUAUACGUGUGUUGGGGCAGGUUGUAAACACAGUAGAAUUUCUCUCACUGAAACUCAGGUAGGGAGGGAAGAGAGAGAUUAGUGAUCCCAACAGACCUCAUUGGAUCCCUACAGCUUCUAGAAGCAACAAAUUUGAAAACUACAGGUCUCUAGAAUCCAUAUCCAAUUCCUAUCAUGGCAUUUGAAGCCCUAGAUUAUCUAACCACAGCUGGCAUUUUUGCUGUUCUCCCAACAGGAAACUCACUUUCCUCCUCUCUGCUUUCCAUGCAAUGCUUUUAACCUGUUAUGCCUCAUCUUCCUAUACAUUUGGAAAUCUACUUUAUCUUUCCAACCUGGUUUAAUUGCCAUCUUUUUUAUGAAGCCUUUCCUUAGAGAAGAUACACUUCAUGUUAGAAACCACCUGUGGGAUAUGUUCAAACCCCAUCUGAUAAGUCUGAUGUUUCUUUUUCUCAGGUUACUGCUGAAACAAGAGCUGGUAGUGCUUUGGUGUAAGAAAGCCUACCCACCAGCAAAUGAAAUCAUUCUUUUUACAGGAUUCCCAUCGCAUAUUAAUUAUAAAUACCAUAGAGCACAUACAUCUUGCCUUCUCCUGUGUUGCCCAGAUAAGAAGCCCCUUGGGGAUCGGGACCGUUUUUCAUCUGCCCAGAUCAUAGCACAGUGCUCUACAUAUAAUAAGCACUGAAGAAAAGGUGGGGAACUCUUGAAAAUAAGUGUCAGCACCCAAUAGCUAGCAUUUUGGUCUUGGUGGAGAUCUUGAUCUUCUGAAGUAAUCAUAGGGAGAUUUUUAAUUAAGUCUGCUAAAUGCUGUCUUUCAUUGACAAUCAUUUAGUGUCUUUUAAUGCGGGAUUAUUAUUUACAGUAGGGUCUGUUUUAGCCAUUUGGCACCUUCCUCUACAGGGCUGACAUUUAGCUUUUCUUCUCCUGAACUUGGGCGGAAAAAAGUCCCUCUAUAUUUUGUUAUUUGUUGUGGUUGAAGUGGUAAUGUGUGUGUACCAUGGAGGUGAGAGAAUGAAUUUUAAAGCCAUUAUUAUUAUACGGCAUCUGAGAAUUUGGGCUUGGUACAAUGUCAGUUGUUUUUAUAGAAUGGAACGUGAAAAACUGAAGUUAUUCUUUUUUUUUAAGUUAUUCUUUACUGAAUUAUAAACCAAGAUAGCCAGGACUUAGCAGUCACUUGUCAUUUUGUUUCAUGAGCUCCGUAUUAAAUAGGGAGAAGUAUGGGGGACAAAGAGAGACAUUAGCAUACAAGGUGUCGUACACCAGAUACAGAAAAGG